CUAAUUAUGUAAAUUGCCAGUGUUGCAAAUUACCCUCACAGUUUGCGUUCAUUCUACACACAAUCCACAUGGUCCCUGCACAUCUCACACACUUCGCACGGAAUCCAUCCACUUUCAGAUACUGUUACUUCCUUUGAGAGAAAGAGAGAGAGAGAGAGAGAGAGAGAGAGAGAGAGAGAGGGAAAGAGAGAGAAAGAGUAAGGAGAAGAUAUAAGAGUGCGAGGAGGACGUAACGACACCUCUGCCCUACGGAACGCUCUGCCUUCUUUCCUCCUACCUCCUUCUUGCUCCUUCAUUCAUCAUAACCAGUACUCAACGAGUAUAUUGUUGGUUACGAGUGUCCACGAAGAUAGUCGAUGUGUUCAACGUCACGAAAACCAGUCUAUCGAUGCUGCAAAUUGCUCCUACGAAAGACCCUUGUUGAUAAUAUCAGUGCUUAGACCUUUUAAAAGUCAUUUUGAAGGAACCGUAGACAUCUUACGUUUUGGUUCAGUCCAGGAUUAUAUUUCAUAUAUUUAGACGCUUGUAGCACGGUCAAGCGUGUUCGCCGUCCGACUUCGUAAUUUUUCUUACGUCGAGAUUGCGCCGAGUAAUGUUUUCUCUCCUCUUACUAUUCUCUUUUUUUUAUUUUCUUCUUCGAACGUCAAGAGGCGAAUGACGAAUAAUCGAGGUGAAUAGCUUCCAGGACGCACAAAGAAUAUUAAAUUAAGAGCCGCCUCUAAAGACUGGUCACGACGAAGAGAGUCGAAUUGCGCGCGCAUUGAAGAGAAAGAGAGAGAGAGAGAGAAAGAAGGAGAGAGAUCAAUUUAUAAUAAGAAUCUCGUUCGAGGAUAAUCACAAUUUUACUGACGUUUAACGUAUGUAUCUACAUUACGAACACUGUAGAUAACGAUGGAAACGAAUCAAUUGUUUAUAAUAAUCGAAUAAUACAAUUAUGAAAUAAAUAUA